GACGAACGCUGGCGGCGUGCCUAAUACAUGCAAGUCGAACGAGAAAUUCUUACACCGGAUGCUUGCAUCCACCGUAAGAUUUCGAGUGGCGGACGGGUGAGUAACACGUGGGUAACCUGCCCAAAAGAAGGGGAUAACAUUUGGAAACAAGUGCUAAUACCGUAUAACCAUGAUGACCGCAUGGUCAUGAUGUAAAAGGUGGUUUUGCUAUCGCUUUUGGAUGGACCCGCGGCGUAUUAACUAGUUGGUAAGGUAACGGCUUACCAAGGUGAUGAUACGUAGCCGAACUGAGAGGUUGAUCGGCCACAAUGGGACUGAGACACGGCCCAUACUCCUACGGGAGGCAGCAGUAGGGAAUCUUCCACAAUGGGCGCAAGCCUGAUGGAGCAACGCCGCGUGAAUGAAGAAGGCUUUCGGGUUGUAAACUUCUUUGACCAGGGAAGAAACAAAUGACGGUACCUGGAAAACAAGCCACGGCUAACUACGUGCCAGCCGCCGCAGUAACAC
rnacentral:rRNA from 1 species